rfam:Ictidomys tridecemlineatus contig097782, whole genome shotgun sequence.
UGGGGUGUAGCUCAGUGGUAGAGUGCUUACCUAGUAUGCAAGAGGCCUUGGGUUUGAUUCCCAGCAUCCAAA